rnacentral:tRNA from 1 species
GGGCCAGUGGCACAAUGGACAAAGCACCUGACUGUGGAUCAGGAGAUUGCAGGUUUGACUCCUGCCUGGCUGU